rfam:Ricinus communis cultivar Hale ctg_1100012360783, whole genome shotgun sequence.
AGUCCAUGGUGUGGGCAUCAUCGCAGUAGGUCUUUGUACCUUCCCAAGUGUCAUACAUUGACUCAUCUUCAAACUACAUAAAAGAAGAUAUGUCAUUUCUAAGUUU